UACGUAGGUGGCAAGCGUUGUCCGGAUUUACUGGGCGUAAAGAGCGCGCAGGCGGUCGUUCAAGUCGCGUGUGAAAGCCCCCGGCUCAACUGGGGAGGGUCACGCGAUACUGAUCGACUCGAAGGCAGGAGAGGGUAGUGGAAUUCCCGGUGUAGUGGUGAAAUGACGUAGAUAUCGAGAGGAACACCUGCGGCGAAGGCGGGUUGCUGGGCUGACACUGACGCUGAUGCGCGAAAGCGUGGGGAGCAAACAGG
rnacentral:rRNA from 1 species